rnacentral:rRNA from 1 species
UUGAACGCUGGCGGCAGGCUUAACACAUGCCAGUCGAGCGGGGGAAGGUAGCUUGCUACCGGACCUAGCGGCGGACGGGUGAGUAAUGCUUAGGAAUCUGCCUAUUAGUGGGGGACAACAUCUCGAAAGGGAUGCUAAUACCGCAUACGUCCUACGGGAGAAAGCAGGGGAUCUUCGGACCUUGCGCUAAUAGAUGAGCCUAAGUCGGAUUAGCUAGUUGGUGGGGUAAAGGCCUACCAAGGCGACGAUCUGUAGCGGGUCUGAGAGGAUGAUCCGCCACACUGGGACUGAGACACGGCCCAGACUCCUACGGGAGGCAGCAGUGGGGAAUAUUGGACAAUGGGGGGAACCCUGAUCCAGCCAUGCCGCGUGUGUGAAGAAGGCCUUAUGGUUGUAAAGCACUUUAAGCGAGGAGGAGGCUACUUUAGUUAAUACCUAGAGAUAGUGGACGUUACUCGCAGAAUAAGCACCGGCUAACUCUGUG